AGGAGGUGGAUAACGAGGAUUUCUGCACUUGAUCGAGGUAUAACCCGAGGUGGUUAGCCGUGGUCGUUAGAGGUGGUUGGCAGCGGUUGGAGGUGAUCGGAGGUGGAUGAGGAGGAGGACGAGGAAGACGAGGAUUUGUGCUCGGUAUAACCCGAGGCAGUUCGCGGUG